CACGAUCAUUUUUCUUCAUAUAAUAAAUCUUUGAUGGUAUUUUCCAAUCACAUUGUUUUUUUAUGAAUAUUUUUCUUUUGGUGUUGACCUUAUUGAUACUGGAGGAGAUGUGGUACCCAUGUGGAAUUUGUUUGUGUGUUUUGAAUUUAGGUGGUUCUAGUUGAAAAUUGUCAUUCUUAAUAUGAAUGACACGAUCAUUUUUCUUCAUAUAAUAAAUCUUUGAUAGUAUUUUCCAAUCACAUUGUUUUUUUAUGAAUAUUUUUAUUAUUGGUGUUGACCUUAUUGAUACUGUAGGAGAUGAGGUACCCAUGUGGAAUUUGUUUGUGUGUUUUGAAUUUAGGUGGUUCUAGUUGAAAAUUGUCAUUCUUAAUAUGAAUGACACGAUCAUUUUUCUUCAUAUAAUAAAUCUUUGAUAGUAUUUUCCAAUCACAUUGUUUUUUUAUGAAUAUUUUUCUUAUUGGUGUUGACCUUAUUGAUACUGUAGGUGAUGUGGUACCCAUGUGAAAUUUUAACUUCGAUGCGAAGCUGAGAAGGUAUUAAUUUUACUAUGAUGUGUUUUUUUAGCUUCGAUGCGAAGCUGAGAAGGUAUUAAUUUUACU